GAUGAAGAACGUAGCGAAAUGCGAUACGUAAUGUGAAUUGCAAAUUCAGUGAAUCAUCGAGUCUUUGAACGCACAUUGCGCCCCCUGGUAUUCCGGGGGGCAUGCCUGUCCGAGCGUCAUUGCUGCCCUCAAGCACGGCUUGUGUGUUGGGCCCCGUCCUCCGAUCCCGGGGGACGGGCCCGAAAGGCAGCGGCGGCACCGCGUCCGGUCCUCGAGCGUAUGGGGCUUUGUCACCCGCUCUGUAGGCCCGGCCGGCGCUUGCAGAUCAACCCAAAUUUUUAUCCAGGUUGACCUCGGAUCAGGUAGGGAUACCCGCUGAACUUAAGCAUAUCAAUAAGCGGAGGA
rnacentral:misc_RNA from 1 species